GGAAGGAUGGCCGAGCGGCCUAAGGCGCACGCCUGGAAAGUGUGUAUACUGUAAAAGGUAUCAGGGGUUCGAAUCCCCUUCCUUCCGCCA
rnacentral:tRNA from 1 species